AAUGUCCCAACAACAACUCCCGGUAGUGGUAGUUCAGGUAUCCAACUUGGGAUUGCUUCAGUUUUAGCUGUCGUCAUCGCCGCCAUUUAUUUGUUAUAAAAUUAUACAGUUGUUUUUAAUCAGAACCAAACCCACCUUCGUCGCUACAUUGUUUCUUUAAAGCCGUACCACGAAGCAUACAAUAUUUCAUCACAUACGGAUGGUUUUCUCAAAUGCACUCCAUUCCAUUAGGUGGACCUUUCGCUUUUGGUCAAAUUGAAAAUGAUCAGCUAAGUUAUUUUCUGUACUUAGUUCGACCACUAAAAAAUGGUUAUACUGUAAAUACUGACUUUUUUGGAGUAUUCAUAUCCUUUUCUAUAAUACGGGAACAAUGUAAUAACUGUUCAAAUUUACCAUUACUAUUUUGCCAUUAAUUUAUUCAACCUGGCAUACCAUCUAUAAGUAUACACCUUCCAGGCUUCACUAUUUGGGUAUUAUUUGUGAAUUUACCUACACCUUUUGUGCCUAUAUAUUACAGAUAUUUAUUUUGAGAUGAAAUGGGGAGUAAGAUUCUACUUUCCUGCACUGAUCGAGCUAAUGAAGGUCUUAUGUCUCUCUUUGUCUAUUCAAGAAAUCUAUAGGAGACAUUCCAACUCCGUUUGUCUAUACUGAUAGCCACAUGAGCCUGCAUGAAUAGCUGUGCCUUAGAAGAGAACAUAUUUGUUCGAUGUUUCUUGAUUUACUUGUACAAAGUUUUAUCCAAGAAAUAUCCCAAAUAAUUUAUGAUAAGAAAAAUAAUCCUAAAUUUUUCUUUGAACCGAAAGUCUGUAAGUUUGAUCACAUUUGUGGAUGGUGCCGUGUAAAUUAUAUACUAAUUCGAUUUUUUCUAAAUUGAUUUCAUUACAAGCACGUGUUGUUGUAUUUUACUGUUGUCAAUAAAAAGAAAAUAAUAAUCUAA